UCAGAACGAACGCUGGCGGCAGGCUUAACACAUGCAAGUCGAGCGCCCCGCAAGGGGAGCGGCAGACGGGUGAGUAACGCGUGGGAAUCUACCCAUCUCUACGGAACAACUCCGGGAAACUGGAGCUAAUACCGUAUACGUCCUUAUGGAGAAAGAUUUAUCGGAGAUGGAUGAGCCCGCGUUGGAUUAGCUAGUUGGUGGGGUAAUGGCCUACCAAGGCGACGAUCCAUAGCUGGUCUGAGAGGAUGAUCAGCCACACUGGGACUGAGACACGGCCCAGACUCCUACGGGAGGCAGCAGUGGGGAAUAUUGGACAAUGGGCGCAAGCCUGAUCCAGCCAUGCCGCGUGAGUGAUGAAGGCCCUAGGGUUGUAAAGCUCUUUCAACGGUGAAGAUAAUGACGGUAACCGUAGAAGAAGCCCCGGCUAACUUCGUGCCAGCAGCCGCGGUAAUACGAAGGGGGCUAGCGUUGUUCGGAAUUACUGGGCGUAAAGCGCACGUAGGCGGAUACUUAAGUCAGGGGUGAAAUCCCGGGGCUCAACCCCGGAACUGCCUUUGGAUAUGGGUAUCUGGAGUCCGGAACAGGUGAUUGUCAUUCCGAGUGU
rnacentral:rRNA from 1 species